rnacentral:rRNA from 1 species
ACGGAAGGCAGCAGUGGGGGAUAUUGCACAAUGGGCGCAAGCCUGAUGCAGCGAUGCCGCGUGAGGGAAGAAGGUUUUCGGAUUGUAAACCUCUGUCAUCAGGGACGAAAAAAGACGGUCCCUUGGAAGGAAGCUCCGGCUAACUACGUGCCAGCAGCCGCGGUCAUACGUAGUGAGCAAGCGUUAUCCGGAAUUACUGGGUGUAAAGGGAGUGUAGGCGGGACUGUAAGUCAGAUGUUAAAUAUACCGGCUCAACCGGGAGACUGCAUUUGAAACUGCGGUUCUUGAGUGAAGUAGAGGUAAGCGGAAUUCCUAGUGUAGCGGCGAAAUGCGUAGAUAUUAGGAGGAACAUCAGUGGCGAAGGCGGCUUACUGGGCUUUAACUGACGCUGAGGCUCGAAAGCGUGGGGAGCAAACAGGAUUAGAUACCCUGGUA